rnacentral:ncRNA from 1 species
UUGCAAUGAAUAAUCCUCUUCAAAGAGAGAGGUGCCCUCAGGAAUACAGGUGGUGCAUGGCUUUCGUCAGCUCAUGCCGUAAGGUAUUGGGUUAAGUCUCGCAACGAGCGUAACCCUUGUGUUGAUGUCUAGUCCAGUGUAGCUGACAUUGCUAAAAUGCAUCAACUUGGUGCUAAAAAUAGGAGAACAUAUAGCAUUAUAAAGACUGCUUAC